UCAUUUGAUUGUGGCCAUGCUGGAGUACUGCCUUUAGUCGAGCAAAUCGACCCCAGGACUUAUUCUUUGUAUGGUUAACGUAAAUAUCCAGCAAAGCUGUCUUAAAACAAGUAACUAGCUGACAUUUUGCAGGAUAACUUCUUACUGAAAGGCAUCAUAAGAGACAGUUGUUGACACCUCAAGUAAGAUGGUGAGCUGCUGGGCAUUUUGUUUAUCUGAGACAUAAACAUUGUUACUGCUGGCUAAAUAGUGUCAAUAUGAAAAUGUGGUUAGGAACAGAUGCACACACACACACACACACACACACACACAUACAGGCAUGUGUGUGUGUGUGUGUGUGUGUGUGUGUGUAUUGGUUCAG